AUGGACUUGCACAUUGAGAUGUCCUACUGUGGGUUCGAGGCAUUCAAGACGCUAGCAAAGAACUACAUCGGCGUGGACGCGCACCCGCUGUUUGCGACUCUCGAGGAGCUGCUGCAGGCGGCUCAGAUCACACCCGCAGACAUCGCCGAGUGCCUGAUGGCGGCCAGGCGCAGCUCCCGCGACAUUGAUGCUUGUAUGAGCCGUCUCGUCGAUGAGCUCAUUAAGACGGCCAAAAUAAGCACAACAGCAGACGACGACGACAAGGAUGAUGUUUCACUUAAAAGGGCCAAGGAUAAUGUUGAGAUCAGAGAUGCGGCUGCAAAGCCAAACGGAGGAAGUGAUGGCAGUAGUGAUAUUGGAGACGGUUGUGGUCUUGGGGAUGGUAGUGAUCUUGAAGAUGAUUGUUCAUCUUAUGAUUCUGCUGAUUCAUAUUAG
rnacentral:rRNA from 1 species